rnacentral:tRNA from 1 species
GGUCGUGCGGAGCAGUGGAGUGCUCGCCUGUCCGUCGAACAGGAGACCGCGGGUUCGAGUCCCGCCACGACCG